rnacentral:lncRNA from 1 species
CUGAGGAGUAAGAGUGGGAGUGAAAGGUGGAGGGUUGGAGACUGAGAAUUGGAAAGAGAUGAAAUGUCUUAGUAAAGUUCACAAUUGAGGUGAAAGUAUGCCUGGAAAAAAUGUUUUAUAUCUAAAUUGAAAGCAAACAACAUUUUUCAGAGAGGCAACAAUUGUGUAGCCAGCAGAAAGGUAGUUUACAGUGUUCAUCUGAGAGUAAGAAAUUCCAAAAUGAAGAUCUUUUCUGCAAAUAAAAAGAAAGAGCUAUCUCUAGAAAGCAUUUCCAAGUUAAAUGUUAAGGAUGAGAGACACCAAUAAAUGGAGAUUGGCGGGAUGACUUAUGCACGUUAGGAAAUUAAACCAUGCUUCAUCUUCUGAUGUUGGAAGACAUGGGACAAGUGCUCUGGGGGUCAAGGCUGUGCUGGGAGAUGUGUACCUUUCUAAGACUCUUGUCUCCUUUGAGAAGGAGAAAUCAGAGUUUUCAUGUAGCGAGGGAAGAAUUCCUUCUAGUUCUUAGUUCUCAGCUAAGGCCCCUAUAACAGAAGACAGAUUAAUAAGAGAGAAAGAAAUAGAAGUUUAUUAACAUGUCUGCUUCAUGGAUACAUGGGACCAACACCCAGGGAGAAAUGAAAAACCCCAUGUGGUGACUUAGAAUUCCAGCUUAAACACCAUCACUGAGUCAAUGNNNNNNNNNNNNNNNNNNNNNNNNNNNNNNNNNNNNNGACAUAGAAGCCUGGCGUACUCCUGUCCAUGGGAUUGCAAACAGCUGGACGUGACUUAACGACUGGACAACAACAGUGGGGAGACUGGUUAUGAGGAAGUUACCAGGGAAAGCAUGCCACAGGACGUUCAAAGAUUCCAGCUUUGCUCCAGCCUCCCAGCGUCCACUCCAGCUUCUCUUGGCCUAGAAGAUUCUCCCCUGGGAUGUGGAGUUCACUCUGCGACAUGUCCUGCCCCGCCCUCCAGCUCCUCAGUGAUGCCUACCCUGUCCACUCUCUUCAGUAUCUUCAGAAAUACUGAAUAG